rfam:Cricetulus griseus cell line CHO-K1, whole genome shotgun sequence.
UGGGAGAUGGCUCAGUGGGUAAGAGCAUUUGCUGCUUUCACAAAAGAUCUAGGUUCAAUUCCCAGCACCCAU